rnacentral:rRNA from 1 species
CCUACGGGAGGCAGCAGUGGGGAAUAUUGCACAAUGGGGGAAACCCUGAUGCAGCGACGCCGCGUGAGUGAAGAAGUAUUUCGGUAUGUAAAGCUCUAUCAGCAGGGAAGAAAAUGACGGUACCUGACUAAGAAGCCCCGGCUAACUACGUGCCAGCAGCCGCGGUAAUACGUAGGGGGCAAGCGUUAUCCGGAUUUACUGGGUGGAAAGGGAGCGUAGACGGCAGCGCAAGUCUGGAGGGAAAUGCCGGGGCCUAACCCCGGAACUGCUCUGGAAACUGUGAAGCUGGAGUGCAGGAGAGGUGAGCGGAAUUCCUGGUGUAGCGGUGAAAUGCGUAGAUAUCAGGAGGAACACCGGCGGCGAAGGCGGCUUACUGGACUGUAACUGACGUUGAGGCUCGAAGGCGUGGGGAGCAAACAGGAUUAGAUACCCGGGUAGUC